GAUGAAGAACGUAGCGAAAUGCGAUACGUAAUGUGAAUUGCAGAAUUCAGUGAAUCAUCGAGUCUUUGAACGCACAUUGCGCCCUUUGGUAUUCCGAAGGGCAUGCCUGUUCGAGCGUCAUUAUCACCCCUCAAGCCCCGGCUUGGUGUUGGGCUCUCGGUGGUCGUCUCCGACCACCCGUCUCAAAGAUAGUGACGGCGUCCCAGAGGGAACCGGUACGAGGAGCUUUCACGAGCAUGUACGCGGGACGACUCUGCGGGCGACGGUCUUAUUUACUUUAUAUACAAGUGUUGACCUCGGAUCAGGUAGGAAUACCCGCUGAACUUAAGCAUAUCAAUAAGCGGAGGA
rnacentral:misc_RNA from 1 species